rnacentral:rRNA from 1 species
CCUACGGGGGGCAGCAGUGGGGGAUAUUGCACAAUGGGGGAAACCCUGAUGCAGCGACGCCGCGUGUGGGAAGACGGUCCUCUGGAUUGUAAACCACUGUCCCCAGGGACGAAGAUGACGGUACCUGGGGAGGAAGCUCCGGCUAACUACGUGCCAGCAGCCGCGGUAAUACGUAGGGAGCGAGCGUUGUCCGGAAUUACUGGGUGUAAUGGGGGCGUAAGCGGGACUGAAAGUUGGGUGUCAAAUCUAGCGGCUCAACCGGGAGCCGCACUCCACACUGGAGUUCUUGAGUGAAGUAGAGGCAGGCGGAAUUCCUAGUGUAGCGGUGAAAUGCGUAGAUAUUAGGCGGAACACCAGUGGCGAAGGCGGCCUGCUGGGCUUUUACUGACGCUGAGGCUCGAAAGUGUGGGGAGCAAACAGGAUUAGAUACCCGUGUAGUC